UUCAACAACAUCGAUACUACAGCCUCAGAGCAGUUUAGCUUGGGGGAAAGUCAGUCGAGUCAAACGAUGUUACUCUCCAUCGUCACAAAAUUAACAGAGCGAGUAGAAGAGCUAGAAAAACGUGGAUCAACUCACUCAACCGGAGAGCGUCACUAUCCCUAAGUGCAGGGCAACAGGCAACUCUAAAGUGCCUUAGUAGCUCGGGCUACACUUAGAGAAAAAUAUUGGCGAUGGUGUUCGACGAUAUGGAGCUCGCCCAGAUGUGUGCUGUUGGCAAAGUGGGGGCCAAAAAUACCCCUAUGAGAAAAGAAGGUUAUCUUCAAACAAAUCUCUACCCCGAUACUGCAAUCAAUAAUGGCAAAUUUAACGCAGUUGCAGCGCUUGCAGUGGGGUGGGGCUCGGAGAGGCCCGAGCUCUGCACCUGCAUCUGCAGUUACAACUGACUGAACUCAUGUAUACACAGUAUAUCAUCCAAUAAUAUCAUGUAUAUGUGGUUUCCAUGGUGACAACUUUCUCAAAUGGUAUGUAUGCAGGAUAUGAGUAUCAUGCACGCUAAAUACGUGUCAUAUACGUGCAAUAUGAAAGCACCAAUCAUAUUAGGCAUGUAUGUAGCAUGCGUGCACCAUUUGUAUUACACGCAUGGUGCACAUAUGCAGGAUAUGAGUAUCAUGCAUGCUCAAUAUGUAAUAUACGUGCGAUAUGAAAGCACCAAUCAUGUUAGGCAUGUAUGUAGCAUGCGUGCAUUACAUGUGUGCUGCACACAUGCUAUAAACCGUGUGCAGCACACAAGCUUAAAAUACGAGCAGCACACAAGCGGCUACACACACGUGCAGCACACGUACCACAGCUCUAACAAAAGCAUCUAUCCUGCACUCGUCCCACGCCUAUGUCCAAAAUACACCAUGCAGCACGCCAGCAGCACACAUGCUUAUCAAUUGCCAGAUAUGUGCAAGAUGUGAGUGCACGUGUGCUGCUAGUAUGUGCCACACGUGUGCUGCUCACAUCGCAUUUUUGUAAAGGAUACAACUCUUUAUGCUUGUUAGUAAGAGUUUUGUAAUAGCUCUCCACAUCUUCUUCCUGUUCCUGUCUCUUCCCACUCCCCUUGUCACUAUCUCGCUUUUUUUUCUUCGCUGGUGGCGGCUCUAGUUCAACAGCCUCAUCACACCACAAAGUUAUUGCACAGCCACUCGGAAACUUCUUGUACAUAACUUUUAUAUCGUCAGAGGUAACUAACCAAACUUUGCUGGUCUCAAAAUACCCAACUGUGAUGGACUAAUGAGAAAAAAAUCUGAUUUUAAGUAUGUACAGAUGUAAUGGAAUGUACAGAUAUAAUGGAAUGUACAUAUCUAUAUUUAUAGACUCUAUUUUUAGACUGUGGAUCUCAGAUAAGUCUGAGUCACAUGUGUUUUUUUGUCAGUUCUCUCAAUUUAUUGAUUUUAUUAAAAUGA